rnacentral:misc_RNA from 1 species
UGUGGGAGCGGGCUUGCCCGCGAUGGUAUAGGUGCAUUCGACAUCAAUGUGUCAGUCACACCGCCAUCGCGGGCAAGCCCGCUCCCACA